rnacentral:ncRNA from 2 species
AAACAGUUACAUGACCGGCGGGAUUAUGUGGAGCACCACAGGGGAUUGUAACUGUCAAGCUGCCGACCGCCUGGGCAAUCAGU